rnacentral:rRNA from 1 species
ANANAUGCAGUCGAGCGAAUGGAUUAAGAGCUUGCUCUUAUGAAGUUAGCGGCGGACGGGUGAGUAACACGUGGGUAACCUGCCCAUAAGACUGGGAUAACUCCGGGAAACCGGGGCUAAUACCGGAUAACAUUUUGAACUGCAUGGUUCGAAAUUGAAAGGCGGCUUCGGCUGUCACUUAUGGAUGGACCCGCGUCGCAUUAGCUAGUUGGUGAGGUAACGGCUCACCAAGGCAACGAUGCGUAGCCGACCUGAGAGGGUGAUCGGCCACACUGGGACUGAGACACGGCCCAGACUCCUACGGGAGGCAGCAGUAGGGAAUCUUCCGCAAUGGACGAAAGUCUGACGGAGCAACGCCGCGUGAGUGAUGAAGGCUUUCGGGUCGUAAAACUCUGUUGUUAGGGAAGAACAAGUGCUAGUUGAAUAAGCUGGCACCUUGACGGUACCUAACCAGAAAGCCACGGCUAACUACGUGCCAGCAGCCGCGGUAAUACGUAGGUGGCAAGCGUUAUCCGGAAUUAUUGGGCGUAAAGCGCGCGCAGGUGGUUUCUUAAGUCUGAUGUGAAAGCCCACGGCUCAACCGUGGAGGGUCAUUGGAAACUGGGAGACUUGAGUGCAGAAGAGGAAAGUGGAAUUCCAUGUGUAGCGGUGAAAUGCGUAAAGAUAUGAAGGAACACCAGUGGCGAAAGGCGACUUUUCUGGGUCUGUAACNNGACACUGAAGGCGCGAAAAGCGUGGGGGAGCAAANCAGGA